CCAAUAGCGUAUAUUAAAGUUGUUGCAGUUAAAAAGCUCGUAGUUGAAUUUCGAGAUCGGCUUACUGGUCGUGCUUUUGUACGUACUGGUAUAAUCGGUUUCUCCUUUCUGACGAACUAUAAUGCCAUUAAUUUGGUGUUAUAGGGAAUCAGGACUGUUACUUUGAAAAAAUUAGAGUGUUUAAAGCAGGCUCACGCUUGAAUACAUUAGCAUGGAAUAA
rnacentral:rRNA from 1 species